GGGUUGUGAGGUUAAGCGACUAAGCGUACACGGUGGAUGCCCUGGCAGUCAGAGGCGAUGAAGGACGUGCUAAUCUGCGAUAAGCGUCGGUAAGGUGAUAUGAACCGUUAUAACCGGCGAUUUCCGAAUGGGGAAACCCAGUGUGAUUCGUCACACUAUCAUUAACUGAAUCCAUAGGUUAAUGAGGCGAACCGGGGGAACUGAAACAUCUAAGUACCCCGAGGAAAAGAAAUCAACCGAGAUUCCCCCAGUAGCGGCGAGCGAACGGGGAGGAGCCCAGAGCCUGAAUCAGUGUGUGUGUUAGUGGAAGCGUCUGGAAAGGCGCGCGAUACAGGGUGACAGCCCCGUACACAAAAAUGCACAUAUUGUGAGCUCGAUGAGUAGGGCGGGACACGUGGUAUCCUGUCUGAAUAUGGGGGGACCAUCCUCCAAGGCUAAAUACUCCUGACUGACCGAUAGUGAACCAGUACCGUGAGGGAAAGGCGAAAAGAACCCCGGCGAGGGGAGUGAAAAAGAACCUGAAACCGUGUACGUACAAGCAGUGGGAGCACGCUUAGGCGUGUGACUGCGUACCUUUUGUAUAAUGGGUCAGCGACUUAUAUUCUGUAGCAAGGUUAACCGAAUAGGGGAGCCGAAGGGAAACCGAGUCUUAACUGGGCGUUAAGUUGCAGGGUAUAGACCCGAAACCCGGUGAUCUAGCCAUGGGCAGGUUGAAGGUUGGGUAACACUAACUGGAGGACCGAACCGACUAAUGUUGAAAAAUUAGCGGAUGACUUGUGGCUGGGGGUGAAAGGCCAAUCAAACCGGGAGAUAGCUGGUUCUCCCCGAAAGCUAUUUAGGUAGCGCCUCGUGAAUUCAUCUCCGGGGGUAGAGCACUGUUUCGGCAAGGGGGUCAUCCCGACUUACCAACCCGAUGCAAACUGCGAAUACCGGAGAAUGUUAUCACGGGAGACACACGGCGGGUGCUAACGUCCGUCGUGAAGAGGGAAACAACCCAGACCGCCAGCUAAGGUCCCAAAGUCAUGGUUAAGUGGGAAACGAUGUGGGAAGGCCCAGACAGCCAGGAUGUUGGCUUAGAAGCAGCCAUCAUUUAAAGAAAGCGUAAUAGCUCACUGGUCGAGUCGGCCUGCGCGGAAGAUGUAACGGGGCUAAACCAUGCACCGAAGCUGCGGCAGCGACGCUNNNNNNNNNNNNNNNNNNNNNNNNNNNNNNNNNNNNNNNNNNNNNNNNNNNNNNNNNNNNNNNNNNNNNNNNNNNNNNNNNNNNNNNNNNNNNNNNNNNNNNNNNNNNNNNNNNNNNNNNNNNNNNNNNNNNNNNNNNNNNAUGCUGGAGGUAUCAGAAGUGCGAAUGCUGACAUAAGUAACGAUAAAGCGGGUGAAAAGCCCGCUCGCCGGAAGACCAAGGGUUCCUGUCCAACGUUAAUCGGGGCAGGGUGAGUCGACCCCUAAGGCGAGGCCGAAAGGCGUAGUCGAUGGGAAACAGGUUAAUAUUCCUGUACUUGGUGUUACUGCGAAGGGGGGACGGAGAAGGCUAUGUUGGCCGGGCGACGGUUGUCCCGGUUUAAGCGUGUAGGCUGGUUUUCCAGGCAAAUCCGGAAAAUCAAGGCUGAGGCGUGAUGACGAGGCACUACGGUGCUGAAGCAACAAAUGCCCUGCUUCCAGGAAAAGCCUCUAAGCAUCAGGUAACAUCAAAUCGUACCCCAAACCGACACAGGUGGUCAGGUAGAGAAUACCAAGGCGCUUGAGAGAACUCGGGUGAAGGAACUAGGCAAAAUGGUGCCGUAACUUCGGGAGAAGGCACGCUGAUAUGUAGGUGAAGUCCCUCGCGGAUGGAGCUGAAAUCAGUCGAAGAUACCAGCUGGCUGCAACUGUUUAUUAAAAACACAGCACUGUGCAAACACGAAAGUGGACGUAUACGGUGUGACGCCUGCCCGGUGCCGGAAGGUUAAUUGAUGGGGUUAGCCGCAAGGCGAAGCUCUUGAUCGAAGCCCCGGUAAACGGCGGCCGUAACUAUAACGGUCCUAAGGUAGCGAAAUUCCUUGUCGGGUAAGUUCCGACCUGCACGAAUGGCGUAAUGAUGGCCAGGCUGUCUCCACCCGAGACUCAGUGAAAUUGAACUCGCUGUGAAGAUGCAGUGUACCCGCGGCAAGACGGAAAGACCCCGUGAACCUUUACUAUAGCUUGACACUGAACAUUGAGCCUUGAUGUGUAGGAUAGGUGGGAGGCUUGGAAGUGUGGACGCCAGUCUGCAUGGAGCCGACCUUGAAAUACCACCCUUUAAUGUUUGAUGUUCUAACGUUGACCCGUAAUCCGGGUUGCGGACAGUGUCUGGUGGGUAGUUUGACUGGGGCGGUCUCCUCCUAAAGAGUAACGGAGGAGCACGAAGGUUGGCUAAUCCUGGUCGGACAUCAGGAGGUUAGUGCAAUGGCAUAAGCCAGCUUGACUGCGAGCGUGACGGCGCGAGCAGGUGCGAAAGCAGGUCAUAGUGAUCCGGUGGUUCUGAAUGGAAGGGCCAUCGCUCAACGGAUAAAAGGUACUCCGGGGAUAACAGGCUGAUACCGCCCAAGAGUUCAUAUCGACGGCGGUGUUUGGCACCUCGAUGUCGGCUCAUCACAUCCUGGGGCUGAAGUAGGUCCCAAGGGUAUGGCUGUUCGCCAUUUAAAGUGGUACGCGAGCUGGGUUUAGAACGUCGUGAGACAGUUCGGUCCCUAUCUGCCGUGGGCGCUGGAGAACUGAGGGGGGCUGCUCCUAGUACGAGAGGACCGGAGUGGACGCAUCACUGGUGUUCGGGUUGUCAUGCCAAUGGCACUGCCCGGUAGCUAAAUGCGGAAGAGAUAAGUGCUGAAAGCAUCUAAGCACGAAACUUGCCCCGAGAUGAGUUCUCCCUGACCCUUUAAGGGUCCUGAAGGAACGUUGAAGACGACGACGUUGAUAGGCCGGGUGUGUAAGCGCAGCGAUGCGUUGAGCUAACCGGUACUAAUGAACCGUGAGGCUUAACCUUACAACGCCGAAG
rnacentral:rRNA from 1 species